rnacentral:rRNA from 1 species
GACGAACGCUGGCGGCGUGCCUAAUACAUGCAAGUCGAGCGGACUGAAUGGGAGCUUGCUCUUGUUCGGUCAGCGGCGGACGGGUGAGUAACACGUGGGCAACCUGCCCGCAAGACCGGGAUAACUCCGGGAAACCGGAGCUAAUACCGGAUAACACCGAAGACCGCAUGGUCUUUGGUUGAAAGGCGGCGCAAGCUGCCACUUGCGGAUGGGCCCGCGGCGCAUUAGCUAGUUGGUGAGGUAACGGCUCACCAAGGCGACGAUGCGUAGCCGGCCUGAGAGGGUGACCGGCCACACUGGGACUGAGACACGGCCCAGACUCCUACGGGAGGCAGCAGUAGGGAAUCUUACGCAAUGGGCGAAAGCCUGACGGAGCGACGCCGCGUGAGCGAAGAAGGCCGUCGGGUCGUAAAGCUCUGUUGUGAGGGACGAAGGAGCGCCGUUUGAAGAAGGCGGCGCGGUGACGGUACCUCACGAGGAAGCCCCGGCUAACUACGUG